rnacentral:rRNA from 1 species
UACGUAGGUGGCGAGCGUUAUCCGGAUUUACUGGGUGUAAAGGGAGCGUAGACGGCGAUGCAAGUCUGAAGUGGAAGGCGGGGGCCCAACCCCCGGACUGCUUUGGAAACUGUAUAGCUGGAGUGCAGGAGAGGUAAGUGGAAUUCCUAGUGUAGCGGUGAAAUGCGUAGAUAUUAGGAGGAACACCGGUGGCGAAAGCGGCUCUCUGGCCUGUAACUGACACUGAGGCUCGAAAGCGUGGGGAGCAAACAGG